rnacentral:rRNA from 1 species
GGGUCAGUAGGUUGGUCGUGCCACCGGUACGUACUGGUCUCACUGAUUCCUCCUUCCUGAAGAACCGUAAUGCCAUUAAUUUGGUGUUGCGGGGAAACAGGACUGUUACUUUGAAAAAAUUAGAGUGUUUAAAGCAAGCUAACGCUUGAAUACAUUAGCAUGGAAUAAUGAAAUAGGACGAUCGACCCUAUUCUGUUGGUUUCUAGGAUUGACGUA